AUUGAACGCUGGCGGCAUGCUUUACACAUGCAAGUCGAACGGCAGCGGGGAGGAGCUUGCUUCUCUGCCGGCGAGUGGCGCACGGGUGAGUCAUACAUCGGAACGUGUCGAGAAGAGGGGGAUAACCACCCGAAAGGGUGGCUAAUACCGCAUAAAUUCUGAGGCAGAAAGCUGGGGACCUGGGAAUAGGCCUAGCGCUUUUUGAGCGGCCGAUGUCGGAUUAGCUAGUUGGUGAGGUAAAGGCUCACCAAGGCGAAGAUCUGUAGCGGGUCUGAGAGGAUGAUCCGCCACACUGGGACUGAGACACGGCCCAGACUCCUACGGGAGGCAGCAGUGGGGAAUUUUGGACAAUGGGGGCAACCCUGAUCCAGCCAUGCCGCGUGUAUGAAGAAGGCCUUAGGGUUGUAAAGUACUUUUGUUAGGGAAGAAAAGUCAGCUGUGAAUAAUGGCUGAUACUGACGGUACCUAAAGAAUAAGCACCGGCUAACUACGUA
rnacentral:rRNA from 1 species